CCUGGUGUCUUUAGCGCCCUGGAACCACUUCGAUUCCAUCCCGAACUCGAUGGUGAAACGGGGCAGCGGCGAAGAUACUUGGGGGGUAGCCCUCUGGGAAAAUAGCUCGAUGCCAGGA
rnacentral:rRNA from 1 species